rnacentral:lncRNA from 1 species
GUCUCGCUGUUGGAGCAGCUCCUGGUACCGGAUAACGCCGUUAUUCAGCAGGCCACGAAGCGGCUCCGUGAGGCCUUGAAGGAACCGGGGGCUGUGGGGAGCCUGGCCCAGAUCGUCGGUGGGGAACAGAGGCCGCAGCUGCGGCAGCUGGCGGCCAUCUUGUUGCGCCGCCGCCUCUCGGCUUCAAGAUGGCGGCGCCUCGACCCGGAAGUGAAGCUCAGGUGGGCGGGGCUUAAACCGAGCCACGUGAUUGGCUCAUCCAUAUAAGUAUGUCCUAUAAUGGGGUGGUGGUUUGUUAGGGGCGGAAGCUUGAUAUGGGGCCUUGUGAUUGGGCUGAA